CUAUUGGUAGACUAGAAGAAGGGCAGUCAAUGAAGCAAAAGAAAAAAAAGAGCCAUUGAGAAUACAUGUACCGCUUUGUCCGUGAGGAUCUAUUUUUCCAACACAGAAAUACUGUGUGUCCAGAUUCAUUCAUUCAUUGAUUUUCUCAAACUAUUCAUUACCAUAACCGACACACAAUAACUGUCCAAUUUUCAAACAAACCAACCCAUGAAAAUUAAAACCGCUUUCAAUGCCUUCUCAUUCGCCAUUUCCAUU
rnacentral:lncRNA from 1 species